rnacentral:rRNA from 1 species
GACGAACGCUGGCGGCGUGCUUAACACAUGCAAGUCGAACGAAGUGGCGAACGGGUGAGUAAUACGUGAGUAACCUGCCCUCCUUUUUGGGAUAAGCCUUGGAAACGGGGUCUAAUACCGAAUAAAGGGGGAUGGGCUCGCGGCCUAUCAGCUUGUUGGUGGGGUGAUGGUCUACAAAGGCGGUGACGGGUAGCCGGCCUGGGAGGGGGGGCGGCCAAAUUGGGACUGAGAGACGGACCAGACUCCUACGGGAGGCAGCAGUGGGGAAUAUGGCACAAUGGGCGGAAGCCUGAUGCAGCGACGCCGCGGGGGGGAUGACGGUCUUCGGGUUGUAAACUCCUUUCACCAUCGACGCGGUAGAUGGAGAAGAAGCACCGGCUAACUACGUGCCAGCAGCCGCGGUAAUAC